AUGGCCCGAUCCAAACGGGGCGGCUGGACUGCCUGCGCGGCGGUGGACGACGUUGCCCAGACCAACAACAUCGUCCAGCGCCUCAACGACUUCUCCUCCAUUGCGCACAUCCCUAGGAUGGGCCUCAAGGUCGUGCCGAUGAUCGCGGCCUUCUCCAACCUCCACACAGUCAACCUCUCUGGUGCCGAUGAUGAAAUAAUUUCUGCCAUCGCUGCAUUACUACAUCCUCCGAUUGCUCAUAUAUCAUUCUGUGAAUUGCCCUGCUCGUUCUCUCGAAGGUUCUAUAUCCCAGAGUGUAUGUAUCAGUCGGAACUGAGAAUUUGCUCCUGGAUAGUCGUACAAUUCGCCGGGAGCAAGACCAAAUUCAACAAGGCAAUAAAACAAAGCGUGGAGCACCUAAAGAACAUCCAAUAUUCCCAGAGCAUACGAGGAGAUCGCUGUCGAAGGGUCUGCACUCACUGGAUAUGUCGUGGAAUAAGAUCACAAAUGUCGAGGGGCUCUGGGAACUGA
rnacentral:rRNA from 1 species